CCUACGGGUGGCAGCAGUAGGGAAUCUUCCACAAUGGGCGCAAGCCUGAUGGAGCAACACCGCGUGAGUGAAGAAGGGUUUCGGCUCGUAAAGCUCUGUUGGUGGAGACGAAAGUGCGCGAGAGUAACUGUUCACGCAGCGACGGUAUCCAACCAGAAAGUCACGGCGAACUACGUGCCAGCAGCCGCGGUAAUAAGUAGGUGGCAAGCAUUAUCCGGAUUUAUUGGGCGUAAAGCGAGCGCAGGCGGUUGCUUAGGUCUGAUGUGAAAGCCUUCGGCUUAACCGAAGAAGUGCAUCGGAAACCGGGCGACUUGAGUGCAGAAGAGGACAGGGGAACUCCAGGUGUAGCGGUGGAAUGCGUAGAUAUAUGGAGGAACACCAGUGGCGAAGGCGGUUGUCUGGUCUGCAACUGACGCUGAGGCUCGAAAGCAUGGGUAGCGAACAGGAUUAGAUACCCUUGUAGUC
rnacentral:rRNA from 1 species